ensembl:lncRNA
UUCUUGUCACAUAAGAAAAUACUAGUAAGCAUUUCAGUUGCUCAAAGUGAGUUUUAUUUUCUUGCGCUGAUGCAUUUCCAUUUGAAAUGCUAAGUUUGUCAUGUCAUAAGCAUGAGUCUUGUAUUUGGAUUGAACAAAAAUGUAUAUUCACCCUUAGUCAUCGAGUCUUUAACACUAAAGGAAAAGACUUGUAUAUCUGCUAAAAUAUAAUUAUUAAUUCAAUAAUCCUUUAAAUAAUUUUUUGUAAGGCCAAUUUUAGUUUUUCUUAUUCUAGCACUCUCUAAUCUAAACUGAUCAUUGCGAUUUCAUAAUCAUUUAAACAUCCAUUUCAGUGAAUUUGUCCACUGUGUCAACAACGAACACAACAACAUGUGAGUUGCCUUGAUUGAUUGUUAUUACUUAACAACUAGGCUAUAUCCUCUCAACCAACAUAAUUCUAAUUCAUUCUGUACACAUACCUCAUAUUAUUACAUCUGUAUUAUAAUCAUCCAUUUAACAAUAAUUUUGUCCAUUAAUAAUAUGUUUAACACGUAGUGUAACUCUUGUUCUGUGGGUUUAAUAGCUUUGGCUGUAACAUCCAGUACUGAAAUCAUAACAGAUUCAUUAACCGAUAUGUCCAGUCUAAGUACCCAUGACAGCCAUAGUUUAAUAGAUCCUGCAAAUGGGGAGACCUCAUCUCCGGCUCAUUUCAUCUCAGCAUCCUUGGACUCGAGUACGCUGACUCAUACUACAGAACAUGCAUCAAUUUUCCGCUUGAUGACUGAAGGUCCUGAAAUCAAAAAGUACUCAAAAACAAAAAUGUUUUUCUUGAUUGCUGUGGUUGCAAGUGGUGGAGGAAUUGUACUGACUGGACUCAUAAGCAUCUGUUUGUACAGAUGUACACGUAAGUGUAUAAAUGGACAUGUCUUACAUAUGGCUUAUAGUUUUAACAUUCUAAUUGAACAGAUAAAUGCACAGCUUGACAGUUUGAUGUUUCUUUCAUCACAGGAAAGUCAAAGGCAGAGAGGUAAGGAUGUAUCUGAUUAUAUUUUGAGUGCAUACUAUCUAUGAAAUCAUAGUUCACUGAAAAAGAAAAUUUGCUGAAAAUUUACUUCAUCAUUACAUCACUUUUCCACCAUUGGAUCCUCUGCAGUGAAUGGGUGCCGUCAGAAUGAGAGUCCAAACAGCUGUAAUCCACAUGACUCCAGUCCAUCAAUUAAAGGGUUAGUUCAGCCAAAAAAUGAAAAUUCUGAUAUUAAUUACUCACCCUCAUAUCAUUCCAAACCCGUAAGACCUUUUUCAUCUUCGGAACACAAAUUAAGAUAUUUUUGAUGGAAUCCGAGAGCUCUCUGACCCUCCACAGACAGCAAUGAUAUUUCCACGAUCAACGUACAGAAAUGUAGCAAAGACAUCGGUAAAAUAGUUCAUGUGACAUCAGGGGUUCAACUGUAAUUUUACAAAGCUAUGAGAAUACUUUUUGUGCGCAAAAAAACAAAAACAAUAAUAACAUAAUUUAAUCAGCAAUUCUUCUUCCCAAGUUUCCGUCUUACAGCAUUUUGGAGAGUACCCCAGAACGUAAUCAACGUAAUCAGCGUUGUUUAUGUUCAGUAGACAGUGCGCACAUGUUAUUAUUAUGUUAUUAUUGUUUUCUUUGCACACAAAAUGUAUUCUUGUAGCUUUGUAAAUUACGGUUGAACCCCUGGUGUCACAUGGACUCUCUACCGGUGCUUUGAUCGUAGUAAUAUCAUUGCUGUCUAUGGAGGGUCAGAGAGCUAGAUUUCAUCAAAAAUAUCUUAAUUUGUGUUCCGAAGAUGAACGAAGGUCUUACAGGUUUGGAACGACAUGAUGGUGAGUAAUUAAUGACAGAUUUUUCAGUUUUGGGUGAACUAUUCCUUUAACAUGUUGUGAAUUUAAAACCAUGUAUUUGUAUCAAACAUAGUUUUUUUUUUUUUUUUUUUUCACUUUACCCAUUUGGCUUCUGGCCAAAAUAUGAGAAUAUAAUCCAUGAUAACACUUCCUCCAGAAAAAACCUCUAUCACCUGUUUUUUCUCUAACAUCAAAAUCCACCCACAUAUAUGUUUAUAACUGUUUUUGCUUUUAAAGAGUGCUUGAGAAAGCAUAUCAUACAGAGGAAACAUAUACUCUCUUUUAGUCAGAAGCAAUGGUUUGAAUUUAAAAACAUCAUAAUGAUGGAUUUGUUUAUUACAAACACACAGCUUUUUACUUCACAAGACAUUAACGCAUGGACUGUAGUUGUGUGGGUCACUUGUGGAUUAUUGUGAUGUUUUUAUAAGCUGUUUGGACUCUCAUUCUGACGGCACCCAUUCACUGCAGAGGCUCCAUUGGUGAGCAACUGAUGUAAUGCUAAAUUUCUCCAAAUCUGUUCUAAUGAAGACACAAACUCAUCUACAACUUGAAUGAGCUGUGCGUGAAUAAAUUGUCAGCAAAUUUUUGGAUGAACUACUCC